rnacentral:rRNA from 1 species
GAUGAACGCUGGCGGCGUGCCUAAUACAUGCAAGUCGAGCGAACAGAUGAGGAGCUUGCUCCUCUGACGUUAGCGGCGGACGGGUGAGUAACACGUGGAUAACCUACCUAUAAGACUGGGAUAACUUCGGGAAACCGGAGCUAAUACCGGAUAAUAUAUUGAACCGCAUGGUUCAAUAGUGAAAGACGGUUUUGCUGUCACUUAUAGAUGGAUCCGCGCCGCAUUAGCUAGUUGGUAAGGUAACGGCUUACCAAGGCAACGAUGCGUAGCCGACCUGAGAGGGUGAUCGGCCACACUGGAACUGAGACACGGUCCAGACUCCUACGGUAGGCAGCAGUAGGGAAUCUUCCGCUAUGUGCGAAAGCCCGACGGAGCAACGCCGCGUGAGUGAUGAAGGUCUUCGGAUCGUAAGACUCUGUGAUUAGGGAAGAACAAAUGUGUAAGUAACUAUGCACGUCUUGACGGUACCUAAGCAGAAAGCCACGGCUAACUACGUG